rnacentral:rRNA from 1 species
CGUGCGGGNNGAAGGCCUUCGGGUUGUAAACCUCUUUCAGCAGGGAAGAAGCGAAAGUGACGGUACCUGCAGAAU